GGCCCGGCGGGCGCAGCUGGAGAACCACGAGCCCGAGGAGGAGGAGGAGGAAGAGCUGGAGGCCGAGAAGGAGGCGGCGGGAUCAGACGAAGAGCGUGAGAAGGGCAGCGAGAGCGAGGGGGCCGCGAGCGGGGACGAGGAGGAGGAGGAGGACGAGGCCGAAGGCUCCGGCAGCGGCAGCGAGCGCGGGGGGGGCUCUGCCCGCAGCGAGGAAGAGGAGGAGGCCGAGGAGGAGGAAGGGGGGGCCCGGGGGGGUCGCCGGGGGGGCAGCGACGCCGCCAGAGCCGCCCGCGACCAGGAGGAGAUUUUCGGCAGCGACAACGACGACGAGGAGGAGGAGGAGGAGGAAGAGGAGGAGGAGGAGGAAGGCAGCGAGGGGGGGGCACCCCCACGGAGCCCCCAGCUCAGCGCCAGCGAGGAGGAGGAGGACGAGGAAGAGGAGGAGGAGGAAGACGAGGAGAGUCCCAGCGACGCCUCCGACUCCUCCAGCGAGUGAGGGGCUGGCGUGGCCCCCCCGCGCCCCCCCGGCCCCGCCCUGGGGCAAAAAGCAGCCGUUGUGGGUGUUUUUUGUGUUUAAUAACGUUCAUGGUUACCAGCCAUAUCAUAACAAAAGGAUUCAUAAUAAAAUGUAUCUAAAAUAA